UGGCUGAUCAGCUGGUCGGGCAGUGGCUGGAUUGCACGCAGCGGACGCGGCGUGAGGUCGCGUUCGGCUGCGUUCUCGUCGCGGUCGGACAU
rnacentral:tRNA from 1 species